GAGCAACAGAUGAAGUGUGACGGACCGCCUUGCACUCCGACUGACUGCCUCCGCCAAUUGAUGCUCCUAGUGCUCACCGAGGAAUUCCAGCACUCCACCAGACACCACCAGGGUCUCGCCGUCCUUAACCCACCCUGGAUCCAAGACUGGGAUCCAGCUUCCAGUGGGCAGACCUCUCCUACUUCCAGAGAGCGUAGCAGGAAC